UACGGAGGAUUCAAGCGUUAUCCGGAUUUAUUGGGUUUAAAGGGUGCGUAGGCGGCAUUAUAAGUUAGUGGUAAAAUAUUGGGGCUUCACCUCACUACGCCAUUAAUACUGUAGAGCUAGAGAACAGACGAGGUAGGCGGAAUAAGUUAAGUAGCGGUGAAAUGCAUAGAUAUAACUUAGAACACCGAUAGCGAAGGCAGCUUGCUAAUCCGCAUCUGACGCUGAUGCACGAAAGCGUGGGUAGCGAACAGG
rnacentral:rRNA from 1 species